ACCUGGUUGAUCCUGCCAGAUAA
rnacentral:rRNA from 1 species